AGCAGCCGCGGUAAUUCCAGCUCCGAUAGCGUAUAUUAAAGUUGUUGCAGUUAAAAAGCUCGGAGUUGAAUUUCGGGGUCUGUCCGUCGGUCGGGCUUUACGGUCCGUACUGGUGUGAUGGGUUCCUACCUUCUGAAUAACCGGCAUGCCAUUCAGUUGGUGCGCCGGGGAAGCAGAGCUAUUACCUUGAAAAAAUUAAAGUGCUUAAAGCAGGCUAGUGCUUGAAUAGAUUACCAUGGAAUAAUAAAAUAGGACGGCAUGGUUCUAUUUUGGUGGUUUCUAAGAUCACCGUAAUGAUUAAUAGGGAUAGUUGGGGGCAUUAGUAUUCAAUUGUCAGAGGUGAAAUUCUUGGAUUUAUUGAAGACUAACUUCUGCGAGAGCAUUUGCCAAGGAUGUUUUCAUUAAUCAAGAGCGAAAGUUAGGGGAUCGAAGACAAUCAGAUACCGUCGUAGUCUUAACCAUAAACUAUGCCGACUAGGGAUCGGACGAUGUUAAUUUUUUAAUGACUCG
rnacentral:rRNA from 1 species